CUCAGCACAAACUAUGUUAGAACACCAUUUAUCCACCAUUUAUCUUUGCUUCUUGAAAUAGUUUUUGCACAUAGCAAUUCAUGUUCUUUUUUUUUCCUACAGAUUCAUUCUUAUACAUCCAUUUCAGCUGUAGAAAAUGAAGUAUACCCAUAAAUACCUAUAUGCUACUCUAAAGCAGUAGUCUAUUUAAAAUGGAUUUUGUCAGACCUAGAAGCCACCAAGGGAAAAGUGAGAAACAGUAGACAUUGCCAAGGAUAAUGUUGAUGACAGUGAAAUUCUUCUGUGGAUGACUACUGUCUUACUAAAAGGCAGGAUUGAUUUCUUUGCAAAUAAAGACAGAACACAUCAAAUUAGAAGUACAAUGGAAAAACCUAAGAAGCAAAGAGACAUGACAGACCUCAGAGGCAUUACUUCAUAUUUACACUGUGGAGAAGGAUCUAUAAAGUCUCUAGUAAGAUAAAUUGCUAGUUUUUCCUAAGUACUGUGUACUGGCCUGAAAUUGUUUCAUCACUUGCUGUAGAUAAUUAAAUAAUAUUGUUUCAUUACUAGAUUCUGAAAUACAGUCCAUUAAAAAUUAAUUCACUUGCCUGUAGCAAAGAAAUCUAGUUAUGGCAUUGCACUGAAUAAAGAUUCUGGCAAUAAGUAAUUAAUUAACA
rnacentral:lncRNA from 1 species